AUCGCUUCUCGGCAUUUUGGCUAAGAUCAAGUGUAGUAUCUGUUCUUAUCAGUUUAAAUUUAGGUCUAGUGCUAGUGUUAUGGUUAAGUAUAGGUUUACUGGUA
rnacentral:sRNA from 1 species